ACCAGAUCUGACUCUUCCAGCUCU
rnacentral:miRNA from 1 species